rnacentral:tRNA from 1 species
CAAAAUGGAGCUUAACAAAAGCCCCCCGCUUACACCGAGGUAAUGUCUGUCCACCCGGACCAUUUUGAG